ensembl:lncRNA
AACCAUAAUCCCACCUACCGCAGCUGUUGAGGGAAUCAAACAUUACCCUAAAGAUGUUGCAGCAAACUGAGCAUUAUAUUCAAGAAACAGAGCUUCUCCAGUGGCGACCUACAAGUCUGUAUCAUGAACUCACGACUAUGUACAGCUAAGAGAUUCUCUUCAGUACAGGACCCUUGCAAAUAAGAGCUCAUCACUGCGGAACUGCCAACACCUACCGAAGAGAGACUCUACUGAUUAACAAGUCAUGAAACCUCCCACAUCAGAUAAACUCAGCGUCGUCAUGAUUACAGCAUGCACACUGCAGGAUCAACGGAGGAUGAAAGAGCAGCACCUGCCAGCAGCUGCCAAAUCACACUGCAAGGUCCCACUGCUACGAGAGCUGCCUGCUGGAGGUCCAGCCUGCAAGAGUACCUACUGAAGAAGUGGGAUGAUUUAGUAUUGCACUGAACAAUGCUGAAAUUAAAACCUUGCCAAAGUAAUAGGUCCAAAUAUUGGCACAAUUAUACUUAUAUGAAAGUCAUCUUAUUAGUAGAGCCAAAUUUCCUUCUUGAACAUUA